UACGUAGGGGGGCGAGCGUUGUCCGGAUUUAUUGGGCGUAAAGCGCGGGCAGGCGGCCCGGUAAGUCGGCCGUGAAAGCGCCGGGCUCAACUCGGCGAGGACGGGCGAGACUGCGGGGCUUGAGAGAGGUAGAGGGCGGUGGAAUUCCGGGUGUAGUGGUGGAAUGCGUAGAGAUCCGGAGGAACACCAGUGGCGAAGGCGGCUGCCUGGGCCUGGCCUGACGCUGAGGCGCGAAAGCGUGGAGAGCAAUCCGG
rnacentral:rRNA from 1 species